AUACUUUUGGGGAAUGAUUUCCGUGCUAUACUAAACCAGGUCUCGUAAAUGAAAUUAAGGGCAUCGUCAUGGAUCUCAUCUCUCCUAUGGCCUGGUUAGAAGACUAGCAAUUUUAACGCAUCGACAAGACGGCGGCGAUGAAAAUGCUGCUUAUUGCUUGAUUUUAUUCUUCAUGGAUUCAUCCUAGACUAUAUUCUGCACUGCUAAAAAGCUGGAGGAGAUUAGGGAGAUCAGCAAAAUCUGGUGGGAGCUGGCCGGUGAAGUUCUGGCCCCUGAGGAAUCUGCGAAGAUGUUCGGAACAGCGCAAAAGGUAUCCCCUAAUGUUUUACAAGAAGGUGAGAAGCGCCAAGGAGUCAUGCAUGCAUACAUACAUCUCAGUGGCAUGGCACAUGGUAUUGUUGUCGAAGGAGCAGUCACACUCCAAGCCGCCGCCGGAGCCACACGGAUUGGCGGAGAAGUUCCAAUGCGAUAUUCCCAUAUUCACCGCGAUCCGGCGAAGAGUGCGCACUGCAAGAAUUGCAAAAAGGAAAGAAAAGAAUCAUGAACACGGCUUGAGCACAUCCUUCUUCUCCAUUACAUUUACAUCCACUUGUACGCGGAGGAAGGAAGCACACAGCAAAGCAGUAGCCUACAGUACUUGUUGCUACAGGGUUUGCAUUCCUUUGGAAGAAAAGAUAUCCAAGAUUCUCGAUCUUCCUCUGUUGUUUAGAGAUUUUUUUGCAUGUAUUCUUGAACUAAAGUGAGGCAGUGAUUCGUUCUUUUUGCAGAACUCAUCUAACAGUCCCAAGCAAAGAAGACCAAAAUGGGAGAAGCAAAGGGACGAAAAAAGGGAAGGAUGAGGAGAAAAGAGCAGGCAAAUUAAGCCUGGGAAGCAAAAGACAUGCUCUGCUUAUCACAGUCAUCUCUCUUUCUAAACCAGCGAGCCGAACGCGGAGGAGAGGGGAGGGGAAUCGCCCGAUGGCAGAGAUGGAGCAAUGCAUUUGCAGGUGCUGAGCACACGUACCUUCAGCAGGGAAGAGCCUAGAGGUAGGAGGGAGGGCAUCAACCCCUGGAGACGAAGAGCCAUGGACCUCGGCAAGCAGCCCAAGGAAGAAGAGCAGUCUCCAGCCGCAUGCGCAUGGCAUCCUCCGCGCCCCCAUCUCUCUCCUCCAGCUCCAAGGUCCAACCACGCCAGCUGAUGUUCCUAGUCCAAGUGGAGCGCAAUGGCAGUGGCGAGGUCCGUCUCAGACUCUCGGGAGAGGAUGAGUGGAGUGACUUGGCUUUCUAUGCAAAAAGGAAGCAGUCCAAGUCCGUCCAGGAUCUUUCCAAUUUUCCGAGCGAGUGCAGUGCGUCUUUACUUUUCCCUCUCUUCUCCCAGGGGCGCAGUGCGUCUUAACUUUUCUGAUUUUCUCCGGCAUGGUUCAGGCCCUCAGACUGUGUCCGCAUUGCUCCGCGAGUACGCACAGUUGCACUUGUUUUGGUACUGCCGUCCCGUGCCCUGCGCAGAACGUGGACCUGGGUCGGCCGCGAGCUGUGAAAACUCGCAAAAAUAGAAGGCCCGCGUCGUCCCAGUACUGUUUUUUGCCGUAUACGACGCUGUGUCGUUGUUGGGCGGGCUGGAGUUUUAUUCUCUUGCUUGCUCUUCUUUGGGUCGUUUCUAAUUCUGGCCUCUCUUUUUUUCCCCUAAUAUAUUGCCCUGAAACUUUUUAAUCA